rnacentral:lncRNA from 10 species
AAGCUCUUUGCUGUUUUAUUGCCCAUCCCUGAGUAAAGAUUCUAUCAUUUGUAAUUUUUUAAUAACGUAAAUUUUACAUUGAUAAGAAUGAUAUGUGUAUUUCCCUGUGGUAAAAGAGUUUUACUGGAAACAAUUAAUGCGAUCCAAAUAGACAAAAAUAUCUAUGAAAGAAAGAAUACAUAUGGUAAGCAUCUUCCUUGUCUUUGGCUUAGCCUUCUUGACCAAAAUCUUCUGUAAACUUCUUUAAUUUCAACAAGUCAUGUUCAUUGACUGUAGGUUUUGUGUUAGAUAGUGACCGCAACAUAUCCGACUGUCAGGGAAAAAGAAGGGUAGGGAGGAUAUUAAUAAUAGAGUUAACAAAAUAAAAAACCGUCAUAUUAUCAUUAUUGCUAUGAACUUUAACCUAAGUUUAAAUAUGAAUAUUUGCAGUCUGCCAUAAGAUACUAACGAUAAACUCCCUAUUCUUUUUUUUUUUUUUUGAGUUGGAGUCUCACUCUGUUGGCUCAGGCUGGAGCGCAGUGGCGUGAUCUUGGCUCAUUGCAACCUCUGCCUCCCAGGUUCAAGAGAUUCUCCUGCCUCAGCCUCCCAAGUAGCUGGGAUUACAGGCACCUGAAACCACACCUGGCUAAUUUUUGUAUUUUUAGUAGAGAUGGGGUUUCGUUUUGUUGGUCAGGCUGGUCUCGAACCCCUGACCUCAGGUGAUCCGCCUGCCUCUGCCUUGCGAAGUGCUGGGAUUACAGGCGUGGGCCCCUGCACCCGGCCCCUAUUCUUUCACAGAUCUUUCAUGAUCUUUGAUCAUGUUAUUCCUUUGUGUAGAAACGUAUACUUUCUUCCCCUGAACUGAUCAAAUGGCUCCCCAAUACUUAUCAGAAGGACAAUCCCCUUAGUCUGAGGAUCAAGGCCUCCAAAGUAUGUUCAUGAUCUAAUUUCUGGCCUUAUCUCUUUUUCUUAAACGAGAUCAAUUUUCCAAGUCAGUAUAAUUCAAAAGGAAAAUAUCAUUCACUUACACUUAAGUGAAGCAGAAUACCAUUCUAUGAAAAAUCUACUAACCAGAAUUUUAAAAUAAUUAGUUACAAUUAAGAUCGAAAUGGUUAGAAAAAUAUGCUAAUAUCAGAGAUUCAUUAAAAAACUAACUUCUAAGCCUAGACUCCUGUAAAAGGAUAUGAAAAAUAAUGAAAAGGACCACUCUAAGUUACUAAAAAUUCUUCAAAGCUGAACAAAGUACAAAAAAUAAAAAAUAAUACACCAAGGAUUAAAACAAAGGGGUUUCUGAGUAACUUCUCAGAUAAGCAUUAUGGUUAGUUCACACACAAAUAUAUGGGUGUAUACACAUUUACAUGUAUAUCUAUGUACCGUGUAAAAGUUUCUCCUCUGGAAGUUACUAUUAAACCUGCCAUUAAAGGUCUUUGAAGAUCUGAAACUGACAGAAAAUUUUGAAAACUGAGAAUGUUCUUCUGUAAGUAAACAACUUUUCAAUCACCCUAAGUUCCCUAAAAAUAACAUGCCUUGCAAAGUAAGUCUUGUAGAUUAUUUUAAUUCUUCCAAUAUAAACUAUAUUAACUGUAAUUUUUAAAAAUAAAAAUAGAACUACAAUAUUUAAACUUUCUAUGGAGCUUUGAGAAGUGAAAUAGAAAACACUAUAAAAACAAUGAUACAAGCAUUAGUAUUUCUGGUUUUUGUUUUUGUUGUUGUUGUUUUUUGAGACAGAGUCUCGCUCUGUUGCCCAGGCUGGAGUGCAGUGGUAUGAUCUCGGCUCACUGCAACCUCCGCCUCCUGGGUUCAAGCUAUUCUCCUGCCUCAGCCUCCCAAGUAGCUGGGACUACACGCACGUGCCACCACGUCUGGCUAACUUUUUGUAUUUUUAGUAGAGAUGGGGUUUCACCGUGUUGGCCAGGAUGGUCUCGAUCUCCUGACCUCAUGAUCCACCCGCCUCGGCCUCCCAAAGUGUUGGGAUUACAGGCAUGAGCCACCGUACCUGGCCCUAUUUUUUGUUUUUUUUUUGGAGACAGAGUCUCGCUCUGUUGCCCAGGCUGGGGUGCGGUUGUGCAAUCUCGGCUCACUGCAACCUCUGCCUCCCUGGUUCACGUGAUUCUCCUGCCUCAGCUGAGUAGCUGGAUUGCAGGUGUGCACCACACUGCCUGGCUAAUUUUUGUAUUUUUAGGAGAGAUGGCAUUUCACCAUGUUGGCCAGGCCAGUUUCAAACUCCUGGCCUCAAGUGGUCUGCCCGCCUUGGCCUCCCAAAGUGCUGGGAUUACAGGUGACUUCUGGUUAUUUUAAAAAAUCUGAGAUGCAGGGGAAAAAAAAUAUUUCACCAACCCUAUUUUUUAGUUAGGUCUUUACAAUAAUUAUACUAUAUAUGAGCAUUUUGGAGAUAUUCUAGCUAUAAGACCUGUAAAGUCAGAAUCUUGUGCUUUAAAAAAUAGCUUUUUCACUUAAAGGUUCCUCUAAACCCAAGAAAAUAGUUUAAAAAUAAUGACUUUUUAUAUUUUAAGUUCAAUUAACUUCAUAAUUUUUAAUGAGUCAACAAUAUUAAGUAAAAUACACCUGUUUAUACUAAGAUUUUCCAGCAAAUCUUAUAUAACUGAAAAUUAUGAAGUAUAAUGUUUUAAAAUAUUUUCUUAAAAACAAACAAAAUUUCAAACCAUGGAAACAACUGGCUCCAAAAGUUUAUCUCCAGGGACAUCCAUCCAUGUCAUUUCAAUGGCACCAGGGUCACCUGGAGAGCAAGGUGUUAGCAGAUCAUCUACAAGAUGGUUAGGAUCAGCUCGGGAAGGUCCGCGAACCUGAAAUAAACAGUAAUCUGAAAUAUGUAUUUGAAACAAAAUUGAACAUUAAGACUUAAUCCAUUACCAGGAAAGUUAAAAUGUAUAAUAGUUUUGUAUGUUUUAUUAGAAUGUUUACUUUUGGAAAAAAAAUUAAGAAUAUACAACAAAAAGUAGUUAUCCCCUGGGUAAUGGGAUAGAUUUUGGUUGCUUUUAGUUUUUUUUUUGAAAGGGCGUCUUGCUCUGUCACCAGGCUGGAGUGAAGUGGCACGAUGUCAGCUCACUGCAACCUCCACCUCCUGGGUUCAAGGGAUUCUCAUCCCUCAGCCUCCCGAGUAGCUAGGAUUACAGGCAUGUGCCACCACACCCAGCUAAUUUUUUUUUAUUUUUAGGAGAGACGGGGUUUCACCAUGUUGGCCAAGAUGGUCUUGAUCUCCUGACCUUGUGAUCCGCCAGCCUCGGCCUCCCAAAGUGCUGGGAUUACAGGUGUGAGCGACUGCACCCAGCUGCUUUUAGUUUUUUUCUUGAUGCUUUCUAUAUUUUGAAAUUUCCUACAAUAAAUUGCUUGUAUGAUCACACAUAGAAGAUGAGUUAAAAAAAAAAUAGUUACCUGUGGCUUUCUCUUUUUCCCCUCUAGUGCUUAAUAAGUGGUAGUAAUCUUAAAGACCAAAAACAGAUAUAUUAAAAAAUUCUCAGAAGUUGCUCUAUAGCUGAGAAACUUCUGUAAUAUUUGGAACUUUAGUAUGAAACUACUGAAUCUCUUUCAACAAAAAUGCUCUCAAAUCUAAGUGCAAAAUUGUAUGCUAAAUGCAGUAUCAAUGCCAUUUUAUCAUGUACAACUUAUUUAUAAGUUUUAACAAUAUCCAGAAAAAGAAUCUUUGUGACAUAGUCACAUGUAAACAUUUAGAUGGCAAUAGUCUGCAUCAACUUGGAGGCACUUCUUUUUUUUUUUUUUUGAGACGGAGUCUCGCUUUGUAGCCCAGGCUGGAGGGCAGUGGUGCGAUGUCAGCUCACUGCAACUUCCACCUCCAGGGUUCAAGCAAUUCUCCUGCCUCAGCCUCCCGAGUAGCUGGGAUUAUAGGCGCCCGCCCUGACGCCGAGCUAAUUUUUGUAUUUUUAGUAGAGAUGGGGUUUUAUCAUGAUGGCCAGGCUGGUCUCGAACCCCUGACCUUGUGAUCCGCCCACCUUGGCCUCCCAAAGUGCUGGGAUUACAGGCGUGAGCCACCGCGCCCAGCCAACUUGGGGGCACUUUCACAUCUGUUUCACAAUAAUCGACUUUAAAUAUUAUCUCAGUAUUAGUGUAGAUGUGAAGAAAUACAUGCUCUCACCUUAUUAUGUGUAUUUUACUGUCUUUACUCACUAAUAUUUUAGCUGCAUGAGGUCAGGGAUUUUUGUCUUUUUUGACUGCUCUACUUUCUGAUCUACCACCGGUCCCAGAUUAGUAUUUUAGAAAUAAAAUACUAGUAAAUGCAAAAAAUAAACAGGGAAUCUUCUUCUUGUUAACUGAAAUAAUCAGCUUUAAAAGAAGUAAAGGAUGGAGCCGCUGAGAGGUCUGCUGCAGCUGGUGAUCCCCAGCUGCAGAGAUAAAACUCAUCUGGCUGUGUCACCUUCAUCCCACUAACAAGGACCUGGCUUCAGCGUCAUGUGAGCUCACCCUGGCAGUAAUAUGCAGAAUUGAGUGACAAACUCUCAGUAGGAAAGGACUGAGUUCCUAUGCAUUUAUAGUUUCUAAAUGGCAAAGAGAAUUUAAGAAAAAACAUAAUGGCUGUGGCAUAAACUUAACAGUACUUCAGUAAUGAAAUGGCUGAAGAAGGGUGGAUGAGUAACAUUCCCUACGCAUCUGAAGUACCACGACUGGUGUUUUAUGAGUAUUAUAUCACUUCAUUAUUGGAAAGGACUUCAAAAUAGCAUUAUCACAUCCCCAUUUUAGAAAUGAUAAAAAUGAGCUUUAAAGAAGUAAUAGAAUUUGCUCAAAAAGGUAUAACAAGUAAAUGGUGCCAGGCUUCAAAUUCAGAUUUUAAUUCAAGCUUGUUAACUUAAAAAAAUCUUAUUAUGGUACAUGAUAAAUAUACGUAUGUGACUUAGUCAUAUUAGUCUUGACAUACAUUAUGAGAUUAGGUUUGCUAAUAGUUUUUCACAUGUAUGUUCAUGAGUAAUACUGGAUACUGUUGUUCACAGCAAAAGGGUUGGUCCAGAUUACCUAGUUCAUUGUUACUCAAACUGGGUAUCUCAAGACCACAGCCUUCUUAUAAAACUUUAUCUCAGCCACAGAUGCUUAACUUGUUCUUGCAGACAAAACAGAACACAGGAGGGGCAGGAUAGCAGAAUGGCUGAGAUUUCAGAUUUGGAAACACACCUCACCUCCAGGCAAAUCACAUGUCUGUCCCACUCUAGCUACUGUGUUAGCACCUACGUCCAAGACUAACCACCAUUAGGUGGCUGGCUACAUGUACCUCUCUUGCUGAUUUUUGUGAAGACCAAAUGAAAUAGUAAGAUAAAAGACAGAACACAGUGCCAGGCAUGUGAAUAUUUAAAAGAUAUUAGCUAUUAUUAUUUUUACUUUAUGAGGUAUAAAUGCACCAGAUUCUACUCAAAAAUAUUCUAGAUGUGUCAGAAGCAGCCUUACAUCUGUACAUUUAAGUUUCUAUACUUAUAUCAAAAUAAUACACAAAUACUUCAAAAAUCAUUUCAUAGGAAAAUUUAAAACACAUUAGGAUGAUUAAUAAGGCCUUUUCUUUUUUUAAGACAGGGUCUCACUGUGUCACCCAGGCUGGAGUACACUGGUGCAAUCUCGGCUCACUGCAACCUCCACCUCCUGGGCUCAAGAGAUUCUCCCACUUCAGCCUCCCAAGUAGCUGGGACUACAGGAGUGUG